UUGCGUCGCAGCAACCAAUCUUGCUCUUCGGGCGGGCGGACGGGUGAGUGUCUGGGGAUCUUAGAAUAACCACUGGGAACGGGGGGUAAUACCGCGUAACGUCUCAAGAGAACCUUCCCUCUCUCUAUCGGAUGAACCCCGAUGGGAUUAUCUAGUAGGUGGGGUAACGGCUCACCUAGGCGACAAUCCCUAGCUGGGCUGAGAGGAUGACCCCCCACACUGGAACUGAGACACGGUCCAGACUCCUACGGGAGGCAGCAGUGGGGAAUAUUGCACAAUGGGCGCAAGCCUGAUGCAGCCAUGCCGCGUGUAUGAAGAAGGCCUUCGGGUUGUAAAGUACUUUCAGCGGGGAGGAAGGGAUGAAGCUUAAUACGCUUCGUCAUUGACGUUACCCGCAGAAAAAACACCGGCUAACUCCCUGCCAGCAGCCGCGGUAAUACGGAGGGUGCACGCGUUAAUCUGAAUUACUGGGCGUAAAGCGCACGCACGCGGUCUGUCUAGUCGGAUGUGAAAUCCCCGGGCUUAACCUGGGAACUGCAUUCGAAACUGGCAGGCUAUAGUCUUGUAUAGGGGGGUAGAAUUCCAGGUGUAUCGCUGAAAUGCGUAUAGAUCUGGAGGAAUACCGGUGGCGAAGGCGGGGCCCUGGACACAUACUGACGCUCAGGUGCGAAAGCGUGGGGAGCGAACAGGAUAACAUACCCUGUGAGUCCACGCCGUAAACGAUGUCUACUUGUAGGCUGUUCCCUUGGGAGUGGCUUCCCCGAGCUAACGCGUUAAGUCCCGCCGGGGAGUACCGCCCGCGAGGUUUAAAACUCAAAUGAAUUUUACGGGGGGCCCGCACAAGCGCUGGAGAAUUUGGGUUUAAAUUCGAUGCUCACCCGAAGAAA
rnacentral:rRNA from 1 species